CACUUUUUUUCCUGUGUUAAAACCUGGCAACACGAGCAACGAGCAGCGUGGGUAGGUUGGGCCAGGUGGGCACCAAGAGGCGUACGGAGGGCUCGCUGCAUUUGUGCGCUGCCACAGCUCCCCACCGCCACCCUUCACGCUGAGCUUGCAUCAGCCUUGAAGGUUGCAGUUGUGUUUGUUGGCUGACUAACGCCAAGCUGGAUGUUCAACUUCUCGCCUUUAGGAGCGGUUACCAAAUGGGACCGCCAGCUUCCAACAGCAGAGGGUACGUCCUAAGUGUUAGUGGGCAAAAUUAUGGGGGGGGGGAGGAUGGAAGAUGAGAGGGUGUUCCUACACCUCAGUGGGACGGAGAUGCCCAAAGAGCAGAGUUGAAAGCAGGAGGGACCUGCCAGGACCAGGGAGUGCAGAGAGAGCAGCCCAGUGGAGCAGAAAGAAGAAUGCCACACAGCAGGAAGAAGAGAGCAGGGCAGGAGCUGGUACGGGUACGCCUGCGUGGUAUGGGGGAAGCGAUGGCUUUCCUGUGGGCUCUCCUGGCUACGCUCCUUGCCAGCGGAAGGCUCGUGCUGAAGAGGGGCUGUGUUACACCUGUAUGCAGACAGCAAGCCAGCCACCCAUCUUGCAACGUGUGCACAUCGGGGCUUAUCGGGUGUUUUUUGGAGAGUAUCUAAUGUUUUUCAUCCUUGCAUUAGCAAGAAGAAACCUAGUGUGAAUGAUACUUAAGCAUAAGUGCCAGCACACACAACGUGCGUCUGACUGCGUUGGGCACUUCGGACCAGAAGACGUGAGAAGUUAAUGGUUAUUGUAUGACCACAGGAUGGCGUAUCGUGGCUUGCAAAGCACGGAAUGGUAUUUAAUGAGCAGCAGUUAUUUUAGCUGAAGUGCGUCUAAGUUGAGUUCACCCUGCAACCCCUGUUGCUGGAAGUUUCUAUUGUUUUCUUUCUUUUCACUCAAAUGUAACCUCCUCCUUUCAGCGUAAAUGAUAGCUUUCCAGAGUCAGGUUUGGACUUCAUUGUACCAAUAACAUUAAAACUGAUAAAAAUGAAGAGAUGGAGCUCUGAUUAUAAGAAAGACACAUCCUCAUACUAGAGGAGAGACUUUGAUCAAAUUUACUGACAACCUGAAAUGAAUGAAAGACCUUACUCACAGCAAGAGAGCUUUUCUAGGAGUAUAUUGCAUAUUGGCUGUUUUCCCAGCCCUGGGAAGUCUUUCAGAAGCAUGCUGUGGCACAUUUCAGUUAGUUUUAGUGAAUUGCAGUGUACAAGCUGGGUUCUUUCUCCUGAAGUGCUGAUGCUGCAGCAUUCCCGUCAGACCGCAGGCAGCAAGCAUCUUUCUGUUAUUUCUCUGUGGGCACAUACAAACCUGGGUCUUGGAGAAUUUACAGCAGCUUCAGCUUUGUAACCUACAGUGCAAAGGGGAAUGUCUGCCUGCACGGAGCGAGCGUCCGACCAUGCAGCUGUGCUCUGGUGCUGUGUCCAGGUUAACUUCACAUGGCAGCCACUGAAAGCAUGCACUGAAGAACGUGCCCAGAGGAAGUUUCUCCACACUGGUGGCUCAUCAGGCCGGGCAGGAAGCAGCAGGUCGCAGUUAGAUGUAACUUACCGUAAAGAUGAUGACUGAGUGGUGCAGAAAACAUCAAGAGAAAGCAUGGUUCAACAGCCAGCAGGGGAGCAUGCAGUUCUAUAUCUCAGUCCUUAUUCCUCUUACUGUCUGUUGGUUCACAUCCAUACAACCAAGGAGAUGAUCUACCAGAGAAGGGUUUGUAGGAUUGGAAUUGGAAAUUCAAGUUGGAGAAAUGUGAAAGCAAUUGGGCCUAAUCCAUUCCUGUUGUUACUCCUUUUGUUUUCACUGGAGUUACUCCAAGGCUGAAUUCAGCAUAUGAUGAACAACUUGUUCUCCAAAGCUGGAACUUAGGGGAGAAGGUUUUAGGGACGAUCACGCAACUCUAAGGCUCCUUCUCAAACAACUGAAGCCCCCACAAGAGGGACAAUAUAUGGUGAGUUUGGGUUAUUGAAUUUAGUGCAACAUUCUAGUAAUAAGCCCUCUAGUCAUAAUAAUACAUUAUUAUCCAUUAGAACAAUUACUUGAAUGAAACCCAACUGCUGGCUCGCUUAGAUUGGAUGGAAAAAUCCUAGCUGUUGAUCUCAAUUGCCAGUUAGCUUAACAGAUACUAACCACGAGCAAGUGACAAAUGGCUCUGAGCCUGGAAAUCCUCCUCCCGCUUCCCUUUCCUCUCACCUUGCCUGGAGCCAGCUCCUCCAGCGUUGCCACUCACGUAAUGCUGCCUGCUCUUUGUGCAUCGACCAUCUCAGCUGCAGCCCAAGUCUCCAAAGAACUUACAAGCUCUAGGUCUGUUUUGGUUAGUUGGAAAAAAGAGAGUGCUACGGACCAUGGUGGAACUGCACGUUACCAACCGGAGUCAGUGUUUGUUUGUCUGGGUUUGUUUUUUUUUUUUUCAGGAGUGGGGGAGUUUCUUUUGAAAAGAUGAAACUCCUCACAGAUCUGCAAGGGCAAACCAGUCCUUGCUGCCAGUUAAUUCCUCCUGCAUUCCUGUGAGCCGCUGAAAGGAUCAUAGCAGACACAAGAUCCCCAUGGUAAAAUUGAGCUUUUCUUUCUUGGAGAAAUAACCAUUAACAUCUCUCUGGCUCACUCUAUUUCAUUUACUUCCUAAACAACUUAGAUCACACAGGGCUCCAGGAGGGGUGCACUGCUUGCAAAGAAAAGGCCUGGAUGAUUUUCUCCGUUUAAGAGAGUCUUGUGAAAAUUGUGCUUCCUGCUUUUGCCCAGGGAGGAGGAUUUAUACCAGAUGCUUCUGCAGCCUUCACUGUGUGUGACUUGGAGGGUGGAAGAUGCACCACGAUUGCCAUGGUUGGGAGGCCAGAGUAGCCUGCUGCUGAACAACCUGAGUCCUGCCCAACAGACCGAAAAUCCCUCUGCCCAGCUGGGCCCUGCUGGUGCUUCUUGUGUCAGCUCUGCCCUGCUGGGGGGGUCCUGGGCCUCUCUGCAGCUCUGCUCGGGCACUCCUCAGUGCCACAGCCCUGGCGCUUUCCUGGUCUUGCUGAGGCUGGGCACUUCUCUGAUACCCUUUGUCUGUCAUCCUCCUUCCCUCUGCUUUGCGUCUGACACUGUGAUGGUGCCGGCCGCCCUCCCUGCUGCCUCUCCCUCCAGACCUCUCCUCUCGCAGGGGUCCAGGCUGCAGCGUGCACCACCGCAGCAGGCCGCCCCGGCCGCCGCUGCCCGAGGGUGGUGCAGAACGCGCUACGAAAGGAAGCAGCAUUGCAGAAGGGGCACUCACAGUGCUUGUGACGGGUGGCUGGAAAUGGAGGAAGCACUUCCCUAUGUUUCCUUCAUACAGUUACACGCUUAGUGAGCGAGGAGGAAGAGCCCUUGGCUUUUGCAAAUAAAGUAAAGCAAUUUCCAAUCUCACUUGCUUUGACUUAUUUUUCCCCACAGCAGAAAAUGCACUAUUAAUAAGCUGGUCGGUGCAAAAGCUGAUGAGAUGCUGCUCUGCUUAGAUCUGAGGAGGUUUUAGGGAGAAGGCAGAAAAAAUGAUGCAUUCCGUGCAGUUACUGACCUCAAGGCUCAGUGGAGAAAAUGCCAGAAAGCCAAGGAAAACAGUAGGAACAGUUAAAUCUUACAAACCACAGCAUGGAGGGAUUAUCACACCAAACCUUGGUUAAAGUUCACAUAGCAAAGAGGAUCUCUGGCUUCCUAGGAACUACAGCUCCUACUGCUUGUCAGAUGUGCUGCUCCAAGACAUAGUCACUUCCCAAACUUCUCUUGGUCAUCAAGUGCACUAGACUUUGGGCCAAGGCUUUCAGGAGACUUCAGCGCUAAAUCAAGCGUGUUACUGCUUAGCCUAAGCACCGGGAAGGAGAGGCUGUAUUUUCCCAUCUGCAGCUGUGUUUUUGCAAGGCACCCCAAACCAGUAUAACUAUCUGGAUUUGCACAUGUGUUUGAUGGAUCUUAAAGGUGGGACCUGCUCAGCCUCCUGGGCACCCUGGCUGAAACAGGCCACUGUGCCAGUCCGCUUGUGCUCUGCUUUCUGCCCUGAGCUGGGACUGUUGGUGGCAGCACUAUGCAUUAGGCAGGGAAGUUGGUGCUUGUGCUCUGUGUGUUGGAGAAGUGUAAAAUCAUAUGGAGAGCCUGCACACCUUGCCUCCUCUGGGAGCCCAGCACCAGGUAAGACUUCAGGCUUGUGCCUCCAGCCCUGCUCUGCUCUCGUUUUGUCUCUUCUUUGGGUUUUUCCUUCACUUCCCUUUAAGCAUUUGGCUCCCGGAGUUGGAGCAUCUCAUCUUUCACUUUGAAACUUUGUUCCUGCUGGCUAUUGAGCCACCUGGGAAUUGCAGCUCCUAAAACUUCAGAAACUAGAAGGUUUAAAAAAAAAAAAAAAAAAAGAAAGUUAAAAAAAACGUAUUGUCUUAAUUCAUGGAGGAAGUGGAUUGUAACUCAUGUUCUCAAAUGCUGUGGUUAGGUGUUCAGCCCUUUUCUCCUGUAAGCUAAAAUUUUAUUUGUUUUGCCCUAUGAAGUAUUUGCCUGAGGACUUUCUUCUAUUCCCAGAUUAGCAGUAAUGCCUGUGGAGAGAGGCUAAUUGCUCCUUAAAAAACAGAAUCAGAUCUGGCUGGAGGACACAGAUACGCACAAGCAGCCUGGCGUGGAAAGUGGGGGGAUGUUUUGGAUGACUUAUUCCUCCUCAAGAGACACAACCCCAUGCCAUACUCACUCGAUCCAGACACGGACUUUCCUGACACAGGGAAGUUUGGGUUCUGAGUACAGCUGAACAUCACUUUCCAGAUGGGCGUCCGUGCCUCUCCUUGAACCAACCUGUGGUUCAGUCUGUGCCACCGAGGCACCAGGUUUCUCCCUGGAUGCUCUCCCUGUGCCCCAUGGAUGCUCCCUGUCCCCAGGGGGCUGCGAUCAGCCUUUUUGGGGCUGCAUGUCAGACCCAUCUGCAGAGGCUGCUGGAGAAGCAAGCGGCCAGUGGUGCACCUCUGGGCCAGGCCCUCCCCUGGCAAGUGCUGUGGAUUUUUUUUCCCUUAAACUGUGCUAACAUGCACACCCAUGCUCCAGGACCGUCGAGGGCUGCUCCUCUAAUCUCCCCAGAAGGAUUACUGCUGCUGGAAAUCAUGAGGGCUUGGACCAGGUAUCAGCUUUAUCAGGAAAGCUUCUUUCCGGCCAAGCCAGUGAGAGCUUUGCUAAGCGGGAAUCUUGGGUUGAAGCUGCUCUUCUCAUGUUUCACAGAUGGCCUCAAUGAAUGAUUUACUAGGAGAGCAGAAGAUUAGCCAGAUUCCUCCAACUGCAUCUCGAGUCAUAUAAAGCACUGGAUUUUAUUGGAGCCUAGGCAAUUCCUAAUUCUUUAGCCUCAUUAGGCUGUUUUACAGUGACUAAUUGCCCUGCGCUCCCUUCCCUGAGAAUCAGGUGUCUCCCAGUGGGGAACCCACGCUCCUCGCACGAGCUUCUCCCGCGGCUGUGAAGCAGCCGUGCCGGUGAAGGCUUCUCCAUGUGUGCAGGUAUCCAGAGUGACCACAGGAUGUUAUGUGUCUAGUCGCAGUUUAUUGGAGAGGUUAAAAUCCUUCUGGGAGAGAGACGGUAAAGGGAAUACUUAAAAUAUGCAAUGAGGUGUUUCCAUAAAAUUAUCGAAAGCUUUGCAGAAUCUUCCUAUGGAGAAGAGCCAUCUCUGGAGAGUUCACGCCAGCCAUGGUUUGGGUAGGGCAAAACCUAUUGCUUUAAUACUUCAGAUAGUCCCCAGGGCUCGGAUGAGCUCUUCUGGGGGAAGGGAGAUUGCCCCAUGCUUGCCUGUUCUGAAGUUUCUCACAUUUUUCUCUUUUACACUUGGCAGCCAGGGCUCCGCAUCUGACUCUCCAUGGCAAUUCCUACAGAGUUUGGCUGUUUUAAAGGACUGCAAUACUGAUUUAGACAUCCAAAUUGGAAAAGCAGUGUUUAAAGUGGACCUAUUUUUUCCCUGUAGAGUGAUACUCGUUAAGGCUCUUUGUUAAAUUAUUUACCAGUGGUCUUGCAAGAUCAACAGAUCUUUCCAUUUAACCACUUGCAUGACUUCCAUCAUGCUUUUUUUCCCUUUGCCCUAAAUAAAAAGGAAAGCCAUCACAAAAUUGUGACUAGUACCACAGUGUGAUGGGAUGCAAUGCAAAACAUAGCUCUUCCUCAUCCCGUACCCAAACAACAUUUCUGCAAACUCACUAGAAACAAGCUUCCAAUAUUUUCUGUUUAGAUGGUGCCUUAUGCAUAGCUGAAAUGUCACACGGGUCUUCGGCUGCACUGUUUGGCUGCCCACAAGUGCUAGUUCAUAUCUUCUGAGGUCUUCAGGCUUUAGGGAAGCUUUUGCUGGUUCUCCUGCACCGUGUGGAGCCUCAGUGCCUGGAUCUGGCCCCAUCUCCCCAGCUGAGACCGCUAGAGGGCUUGCUAGGGUGGAUUCCCUAUUUCUGUAGAUACAUGAAAUGCACACGCUGUAAAGUGUACAGCAGCAUGGGCAUGUGCUGAUCUCAUGUAAACAGCCCUGGGUUUAUAGCUGUCAGAGACGAGAGCUUGGAGAUUUGCUGUGAGGAAUCAAUUCCUAGCAGAAGUGUUUAACAUAUUUGGGUUUUAGCCAAGAGUCUGAGAAAAGAGGGUUUGUGUCUCCCUUUCCCUCUGCUGUGAUCUCCCUACGUGCAACACUAAAAGCUGCUCAGGAAAGAAUGACAAGAAGAAACAAUCCUGCCAGUCUUGUCCCCAAGGCAUCAAAUGUCGAGAUGCUCAGUCUGCCCAAGAAGCACCAGGAUAAAGGAAUUUGUUAUGUUUCUGAUCCGUGCAUUGCCACUUUUCUGCAUUAACUGGGGCUGAACUUCUUCCCUGGCAGUCCCUUUUUGCUCAGCCUGUGGCAUAAAGGAGACAGCAGGAGCCCCUGGAGUCCCCUGGAUAAAAGCUCCUCCACCACAGUUGUUCGAGACUGUGUGCUGUGGAUGUUUUGCCACUACCCAUAGCAGGGUGAGGAGAGAGUUAUAAAAAGUACAGGAAUGCAAAAUCCUGUCCUAUUCUCAGUGAAGAUAGAAAUAAAACGUGUGUACGUGUUUCCAGGAUAGAACCUAGUAUGUAUGAACUGUGUAUUGGCAUUUGUUGGAUGUACAAUUUUUAAAACACAUCAGCUAGCAGAGCAGAUACUGCAUCAAUUAUUUUGAAAUGGUGUGUACUCUCUGCAAUGCAGCUGACCUGUAAGAACAGAAGAAUAUUGUGACCAAACAUCACUUUAAAAGCAAAUGUGAUCCUUUGAUUUUUUUUUAUUAUUAUUAUUAUUUUUGUAAAAGACAGUAUUUGUCAAGCCUGUGUUUACAAGAGUAACUUCAAAUCUUGGAGGAUUAAUCACCAUGGCAAUUUUUGAGGCUCUUAAGUCACCCACCCAGAUUUUAUCCAUAGGCUGCCAGCACAGGGGGGUGCUCAGGGUUGUCUGAGUGUGGUCUCCCACCAGGGGCCAGCGAAGGUCUCAGAGCCCUGCAAGUCCUCGUGCAAGGCACUGCCUCCACUGCUGAUGGCCAGGCAGACGGGGCCAUUGGGAAGGGUUUGAAAGGGCACAUUUAAAAGACACAGUAACUAACAGGAAAAACUCAGAGUCAUGAGAAGAGAUUGAACAAGAGAUUUCACACGAGAGACAAUUUUCUCUUUUUUUUUUUACCAUCACUCAUUAUUUUUAGAUGUACAAUGUUUUUGCCAGACACACAAAAUGGACGCCUGGGAUCCUGACGUCUUACCCUGAAGAGGCCUUGGGCUGCAGUUCCAGUCUUUAGCUGUACAACCCACCGUGUUUGUGUGUUUGGAAGUCUCUGUUGGCAAUGCUGGCCUGGAAAGUGCCAUUGCCCACACAACAGCGGAUCUGCUGUCCACUGCACGCCUGCUCUCAUCCCUGCACAGAGACUGAAAAUGCCCCUCUCCAGAACCAAACGGGAGUAGAAAAAAAAAUAAUGAGCUAAAAAGGAAAUGAAACAGGCAAUGAAUGCAUGAGAUUAUUUUAACUGCCUAUUUGCCACCAGUUUUUCCCCAAAAUUUUUAUUUGUAUUUUACCCUUGGUCAGGAUCCCAUCUGAGCAUGGCUGAUUGCUCAGUGCCAGAGACAGGCAAGGGCAAGAAAGGAAACAGCUGUGAUCCUUGCUGGAGCAUUUGGUCCUAUCCAUCCCCUUAGAUGUAUCCAAAUGUAAAUAACCUUUCAUAUCACUUUACAAAGCGAUGGCUAAGUAGGAUGGAGGAGAAGGUAGUCUGUAACGUAAUGAUUUCUGUCUUUUCUCUUUAUUUUUUCUGCUUGGUCAAGGAAAGGAAAUCUGUCUGGUUGUUAAUUUGAAAGCAUUUAUAGUGGUGAUGGCAUAAUAGAUAUGAAAGUUCAGAAGACUCUGGCAACUUCUAACGUAUUGAGACUUUCAGAUGAGAAAAUGAAAGCUGCCUGUAAAGGAUUCCCAUUCAUCAUGAAAAUCCCACCGUACCAUGGGACAGCUGCUUGCCUGGGAUCUGUAUCUCAGAUGUGAGGAACCAGAACAGACACAUGCCGUGUUGUACAAAGACCAUAACCCAAGGGACAGGUAAAUCAUUCUUUAUAAGGAAAAAAACGUCAUAAGGAAUUAACGUUUUCUAUAAAAGAGACUUUUCAGGUUUUGCUCACCAUUCGACAUAAUCAAAAACAUGGCUUAAAAUGCAUAAAUUAUGGAUUUUUAUAUUCUAGUGCUCUACUAACAUCCUCUGGAGAUGGAUUUGGCGCUGCUGCAAGCAUGGCUGGAUAGCCAGCAGGGUCUGCUUUGGCAAGGAGCACCCCUGCUGUCGCACCGUAGCUGGAAGGCGAAGCAGGUGGCAAAAGCUUCCUGGGAGAGGCUGGGACCAGAGCCUGUUACCACCUUCACGCCACUCAGUGCUUCUUCCCAUUCCCCAUAUCAUAGAGUUCGGUGAACUCUCAUUCAGAGAUUGGAAUGGAAAAAAGUCCAGGGUUAAAGCUGGUGACAUCUGUGUCAGAGGAGCAGGCAGGCAGAAGGCAGCGAAGGGAGAGCCAGGGAGGAGGAUGAAGGUCUGUGCAGGCAGCUGGCAAUUGGGAAAAGCCAGUCUGUGGUGCAAAGGUAACACCAACACAAGGGGCACCUGGCACAGAAGCAGCCCCCAAAACAUGCAGGACGAAUAAGUUCUGGAGUAUGUUGUUCUCUGGCCAGAUUUCGUGGGAGGGUAGGUCUGGGGGUCUGUCUUCUCCUUGAGGACAACCAGGAACAAAGCACUUGUUCUCCUGGUCUGGAUUGCUCCUCACCCUCCUUGACCACCGCUUGGAUGAGACAAACCUGCACAGCGUGUGGAGAGGGCCAGGAGAGAGCAGCCCAGGGACUGAUGGGGGGCAGGAGGACAGAAGAUGGCCCCUGGUCUCGCACUGUGUCCCCAGCAUAGCCCUGGCCUUCACACACGGCUGCACCAUCCCACCACUGUGAGCCCAUGCUCCUGGUGUGUUGCGGCAAGAACUGAAAAUGCUUCAUUAAAAUAAUAAUUUCCUUCUUCUCUCCACUUUUGGGUUAUUGCUUCAAGUGAAUAAGACAGCAAACUAUGUA